UACGUAGGGGGCAAGCGUUGUCCGGAAUCAUUGGGCUUAAAGAGCGCGUAGGCGGUCCGGUAAGUCCGCUCUGAAAGUCCGGGGCUCAACCCCGGGAGGCGGGCGGAUACUGUCGGGCUAGAGUCCGGAAGAGGCGAGUGGAAUUCCUGGUGUAGCGGUGAAAUGCGCAGAUAUCAGGAGGAACACCAAUGGCGAAGGCAGCUCGCUGGGACGGUACUGACGCUGAGGCGCGAAAGCGUGGGGAGCAAACAGG
rnacentral:rRNA from 1 species